GUCUCUCGUCAUCGUCACAGACUGUAACGGGGGUCAGGGGAGCUGCUGAAGGAAACGGCCGAUUUCGUGAAAUGAGGAGCCUGCUUCUCCGAGGGGUCUGGCUAGUUUGUCCUCUUGUUUUUAGCUGGACUCGUAAAGCUCCCCCUUCCUUAUUUCUUCCUUCACUGAUCAUGUUCCUCAGUUGCACCCUGCGUCUGUAACUUGUGGCUUGGUGAGAUCUGGCAGCCAGCGGGGAGGCCAGAGAAGGGAGGAUCUCGGCCUGUGUCAAAGAGGCCACAAAACCGGCAGAGCAGGGCUGAUGUCAUUAAGCAGGGUUUUUAAGGUGGAAUGAUGUUUGAGUUGUAGUGGAUGCAUCUCUGCGGACGAAUUCUCGAGUCUGGGGCCGGUUUGCGUGUGUCCGUUUGCAUCUGGAGAGCGCGGUGCUGAGUGCGGCCCGGCUGAAUUCUGUGCAUCAGUUAUUCCCUGCCUGUGUGGCCAUGACGACGCUCCUUCCUGGAAGAGUGGAGGGGCUGGGUUUCCUGGGGUGGGGAGCGCAUUCAGUGCCCUUCUGCAGAUGCCCCCGCGAGGGACAGAGGGAGGGUGCAGCCCGACGGGGAGCUGCUUCUAGUCACCAGUCUGCUCAGCGCUGGCCGCGGCCCUGGGCCUAUGUGAGGCGCCGCGCACUGUGCCAGGUCAUUUCGGAAACGCCGCCGUGUAAUUGCAGCUGUGCAGAGACAGGUUUAUUUUAGACUCUGGAAGUGGAAAGCACGCCCUUUCGUCUAAAAUCUGUGCUUGCUUUUACUAUUAGGAAAGAACUUUUUUAUAUUUAAUAAAAUGCACUUAAAAUGUUUUAAAUGAGAUGAAACCUAAAAAAUCCAGCUUUCAGAAUGAUGUUCCCUAUCUUCGGCAAUCUGGUUUUAAAAGUUUAAAUUUGGAAGUGAGACUUUUUAUAUAAUGGAAUAUGUUUGUGAAAAAUUAUAUCUCUGUGUUUGUAACUGUGCAUAUGUGGUAUGUGCACGUGUGUACAUGUAUGUAUGGGUGUGUGGUGUGUAUACAUGUGCGGGUGUGUGUCUGUGGUGUGUAUACAUGUAUGAGGAUGUGUGUGUGGUGUGUGUGUGGCAUAUAUACAUGUAUGGGAUGUAUUUGUGGUGUGUAUAUGUGUGUAUGUGGUGUGUUUGCAUGUAUGGUGAUGUGGGGGUGUAUACAUGUGUGUUCACGCAUGUGUGCAUGUGUGUUUGUGGUGUGUAUACCUGUAUAGGGGUGUGGGUGGGUGGGUGUGUGUGUGUGUGUGUGUGUGGUUUCUCUUGCCCUGCAGACGUCAUCCGUGGCGAGUGCCCUUGAACACUGUGUGGCCUCUUCCCGCACUCAGCCCUAGCUCUGCACCUGGGUGGUUCCUACCUGUCAUUCUCUUCACUGUAGUUUGAUGUCUGUAUUAAUCUAAUUAUCAUAUUUUAAAAUGUAAUUAUCAUAUAAUUAUAAAUAAAAUUCAAUAUUACAUUUCUGCAGCCUUUGAUACUUGGAAAACAGAGUCCUUGCUACUAAAGAAUUUAUUAAAUAUUAAAUAAUUUAUUGAAUGCAUCCUAAAUUAUGCUUGAGCACAAUUCAUAUAUAACCAAAUACAAACUGUAAGUCAGGCAAUUUUGUAAUUAUACUAAUUAUCCACAGUGAUUUAGGAUAAGUGCAGUGUAGAUCAUUGUUAGCUGUGUGUGCAACCUCACUGUAUGAUCUCAUAAUUGCAUUGAGGCACUUAACAAAACACCAGUGUCUAGAAAUGUUCACGUAAAGGGCUAGCUUGUAUGUUGUUUUCGAAUGUGUGGUAGGAAUUUACCUCUUUUAGGAAUGAGUUUGAGGAAUGUCCUGUGAGCACAGCCCAGGCUCACUCUCUGCCCUCUCACAGCAGGCCUGGGCUCCAGCUGCACUGCUGCCUCCCCCUGCCACCUCUGUGCCAGCACGGGAACUCUUCCUCCCUUCUGCCCCGUCCGGCCCUGGUCCUGUGUGAGGUCGCCCCUUCUCUUCUCCUCCAGGGGAACGAGGGGAGAGUCAUUUAGGUUGAGACUCCCCGGUUGUCCUGCAGAUAGGCAGGGGGAGCACAGCAGACACAGUGCUAGAGGACAUGGGUUCAGAGAGGAGAGUCCGCCGCUGAGCCUGGACUUCACCAUCCCGGGGUCAGGAAGGUGAGGCUGAUAAGGAAAGCCCGAGAGCCGGGAGGAUAGACGUGUCCAAAGUGAGGUGUUAGGAAACGUCCCACCAAGGAGAGAGCAUGGGGCCAUCAGACACCCGGGAGUCUAAGAGAGAUGGAGACUGAGGACUGGCAUUGCGGGUGCACCGGGAGGUCACAGCUGCAGGGACAGAGCCACCUCAGUGGUGAAAACCCAAUCAGUGUUUUGUUGGCGAGGAAAUGGCAGGAGGAGAUUGGAUUGGUGUGUAUGGAAGUCUGUUUUGAGAAGUUUUGCUGUAAAGAGGAGCUGAGACUCAGAGUGGUAGCUGGUGAAAGCAUGGAUCCAAACAGUGUUGUUUGGUAUGGACACGUGAGUGUGAAUAGCACGUUGUCGGCUGAGGCAAAUGGUAGGAUGUGAGGGUACAGAGAUGUCUCUGAUUUUAAUUUAGUAACGUUUAAUUUCAUGCUUGCUAGAGUUGCGACUUUGUUUUGAAAAGGAGGAAAGCACGUUUGUCUCAACCUCAGGCAACGGGGGCUAGACAUUACUACUGGCCCCAGGACUCUCCCCGAGGCCAGUUUACACCUUCGUUUAAGGCUGAGGCCCCUCUGACAGGUGGGUCUCCAUGUGUCUGCUGACCAGGGAGAGCAAGGCCACACUGCACAGAAGGCCGCUGCCUUCACCUGCACCUGCAAAGCUGCAGGUCACAGUUCAGCAAAUCCCACCAAGACUUGGAGGUGUACCAGCAGUACUGUCUGAUCUGUGAGUGUCUGACUAUCCUGUCACAGCCAGGGACACAGAUGAAGAUGCCAUUCUAGGUGAUGUGGGGACACCCCUGAGCCUUGGGUUUUGGAAUGCAUGCCUAGGAGCUAGGGCAAGAAGAGACAAGGGCCUGAACUGACUUCUCAUCACCUCCUGCAGAUAUUUCAGGCAGAUGCACCAGCCAGACUCCCUAUGCUGUAUUUUUGCUGUCAGACCAAGAAGAAAAUAUUCGUAAAAGUCACGGCAGGAUGGGACCCUCCGGCCUGAAAAGUACUGUAGCCUCCAAGAGCCCAAGAGCGGCUACUCCCACGAACUGCCACAUGCUGAAUGCCUAAAACAACAGGAAUUUAUUUUCUUAGGGACCUGGAGGCCAGAAGUCUGACAUCAAGGUGUGGGCAGGGUCAUGUUCCCCUGCCUGAGGCGGAGGCUCUGUGGGAGAACCCCUGCUGCCCCUCAGGGCUUCUGGAGGCUCCUGCCACGUUUUGUGCCUUGAGGCUGUGUCCCUUCUCUCCAGUUUCUGCCCCUGCCUUCUCCCUGCCUCUUCUCUUCUUUGUGUAGCUCUCUGUCUUCUCUCCUUAGGACACUAGUCAUUGGAUCAGGGCAUACCUGGAUAACCGGGUCUGGUGAGGCAGGAAUUCCUGCCCUGGGGCCAUGGAAAUGGCCGCACACUUGACAUCUGACACUGGCCAGUAUGAAGAAGGCAGGUGCCCUGUGUCCCGUGGGAGGAUGUGACAGGCUACGUGAAUAAUUCCGCCAGCUGUCAGGGAACCAAGGCCUGUGAUGCAAGGUGAGCACCACUGCGCCAGGCCCUGUGACAAGGAGGGUGGGUGGCCUGGGCCUUGUCCAUCGGAGCAGGGGAGUGUCCACACAUAGACUCAGGCCUUGAUUUUAGGCCUUGUAGCCCAUGCAGACUGAUCUCAUCUGGAGAUCCUUAACUUCAUUAAAUCUGCAAAGACUCUGUUUCCAAAUAAGGACAUCUUCAAGGCGCUAGGGGCUAGGACUUGGGCAUAUUAUUUUUGGGGGAAAAGGGACACAACCCACUGCAGGGAUCAUUAAUGAUUUGAAUAUAAAAGGUGGAUUUGUAAAGUUUUAUUCAAAAAAAAUUUUUUUAUCCUACUGAUCUUUUGUAUUAUUAUAAAAACCAGUUUGUUUUAGAGAAAUAAAGAAGCACAAAAAAACUGUUUAAUAAUGGCAACUUUACCCAAUGCUAAUGAUUUACAAUAUCUCUAGAACAUUUUAAUCUGCAUGUGAUUAUUAUCAUACGCAUGCAUCAUACCAGAAUAAUGUUUCCCAAUUUUUUUGUAUGUAAGAAGGUUAUGGGCCUGUGACAACAUUAAAAACUGAGCAUCUGGUGUGCCCUGAAGGUUGGUGGCCCCAACAGUCAUACGUUGGUACCUAGCACCCAACGUGACAAUGUUAAGAGGUGGGUCUUUGGGGUGCAGUUAAGUCCACAGGCCCCUCCUUCAUGGAUGGGUCCUGCCCUCAUUAAAGGGGCUGGGGGUUCCCUCGCCCCUUCUGCUGGACGUGGACGCAGCUGGAAGGCACUGUCCCUGAGGGAUGCCCGGGGCCCUCACCAAAGCCACCUCUUCCCAGCCUGCAGAACCGGUAGGAAGGGUUUUCUGUGGUUUAUAGCACCCAGGCUACAGUAUUUGUUUAUUGAGGCCCCAGCACUCGAAGACGCAUCCCGGAGGCCAGGUGGCCAUGCGUGGCCAGGGUCUCUGCUGUGGGCGAGAACCCGGCCUUAGGAGCCCCGUAGGUGUGGCCUGGAGGGCCCGGGCUCCCUCGCCAAGGCCGUUCCUUGCCUGGGCUCGGAGGGUGGGAACCUGCCUGCUCCUCCCGCUCCCCUCCAGGCGCCGCGUGGACAUAGGCUGUGGAAGUCCCCGGAGACCCCUGCCCCAUCCCCUGCCCCGCGGGGUGUCAGCGGUGGCCUCCCAGGCAGCAGGAGCGCGCAAGUGGGAAGCGGGGAUCCCAGCCCACGUGCGUGGGGUGCUCCCAGCUGCCCCGGGACCUGUCCCCAGGGCGACCCUGGGAGGAGAAGGCCCCAUCCCAGCGCCUGCCUGGAAGGAGGAACCCGGCCCAAGAGGAGCUGCCCGGGGCGCGCCCAGGCUCCCCUCCCCAGGCCUCCCGGCUCGCCUCCCCUCCCCUCCCCUCCUCCUGCGGUGUUUGCCUCCAGCCUUCCCUAGAUUCCCACGCCGGCCUCACCCUACAGCGCUGCGCGACUGCUUUGCAGAAGCCAGAUGAUUCUGCCUGUGCAGGAAUGAAGUGCGACCCGGCGCGCGAGGGAGGGAGGCCUCUGCGCUUUGGCUCCGGCCGCGCCUCCUCCCUGGGAUCCGGUCUAGGGCUGGCGAGCUCCGCGGAUCCCUGCUCAGAGCGGGGCUGCUGCACCACCUGCCGCGGGUGGCCAAAGCAGAAAAAAAAGAAAAAAAUGGGAGUGGGGAAUACAAACGUCUUAUUUUCUUUUAAAG